UAGCGAAACGGCGAGCCGAUCCUCCCAUCGGUUCGCCGUAUUCCGCGCGUGGCGGCGCGGAACUGAAGAGCCAGCCAAAG
rnacentral:hammerhead_ribozyme from 1 species